UACGAAGGGGGCUAGCGUUGCUCGGAAUUACUGGGCGUAAAGCGCACGUAGGCGGCUUUCUAAGUCGGGGGUGAAAUCCUGGAGCUCAACUCCAGAACUGCCUUCGAUACUGGAGAGCUCGAGUCCGGGAGAGGUGAGUGGAACUGCGAGUGUAGAGGUGAAAUUCGUAGAUAUUCGCAAGACACCAGGUGGCGAAGGCGGCUCU
rnacentral:rRNA from 1 species